rnacentral:rRNA from 1 species
UACGAAGGGGGCUAGCGUUGCUCGGAAUCACUGGGCGUAAAGCGCACGUAGGCGGAUUGCUAAGUCAGGGGUGAAAUCCUGGAGCUCAACUCCAGAACUGCCUUUGAUACUGGCGAUCUUGAGUCCGGGAGAGGUGAGUGGAACUGCGAAUGUAGAGGUGAAAUUCGUAGAUAUUCGCAAGAACACCAGUGGCGAAGGCGGCUCACUGGCCCGGUACUGACGCUGAGGUGCGAAAGCGUGGGGAGCAAACAGG